AGUGCUGGCUGGGAAUUAUCCGCAACAUAAAUUGAAAAUUAUCUUGGAGCUUGCGCGAGAGUGAGGGUAUUUGAGUUGGACUAGAAGCUUGUUGUGGAUUUUAGAAAAACCAGUUUCCCGGUGGUAAGAUGAAGGGUCGUCUGAUGUUAUCCCUCUGCUUUCUGGCGAUCUUUGCACUGACAAAUGCAGCAGAUGCAGCGACCGAUCCCCCCACAUCAGAACCAACAUCAGCCGCACCAACUACUGGUGCAGGUCAGGUUGUCAUAAGUGCCGUCGCCAUCUUACUUCCGGUUGCCAUGGCUUUAUUCAAGGUCAUUGAAGGUCAGUAAGCAAAACUAUCUUGGACACCAGCAGCCGGUCAUGGACGGAUGUCGUCAAGAUUGAAGUGCUCUCAUACAUGGUGAAUACGAUCAAAGGGAUUGAAAAAUUCCGUCAGUCCACGAGAAAUGACCGAAAAGAUGGAGUUCGGUGCUACUGAAUUGUCGGACAGGAAGGACAUUAUAGAUUCAGUCAAAAUUUUAAAAAAUCCAAGUUCACCAAAUUAAUGACUCACAUAGUGUGAUGAAAAAAAAAGAGAGGCAUUAACGUACUAGACCUGAAGCAAAACAAGCAGCCAAGGAUUUUAACAAACAUUUUCCGUAUCUUCGAUCGUCUGCCCGGACUGGUACAGGCAUGAUGACGUCAGUUCAGGCGUCAUGGGUGCUUUUGCCUUGGCCAUUGGUUGAUUAUCGUGACCUUAAACUUCAAUGAGGUUUACUGGUAGUCACCAAGCCCUGGGCGAAUGGCAUUUUGGUGCAAGCUGACUGAAACGAGUCUUCUUGCUGGUGUGUUUCAUGUGUGAGCUCUCGUGAGUUUUCGAACUCUUCAGGCGUUUGAUAUCUCCUCUGUGUUCAACCCCCUGGAGGGGAUGUUGGACACUAAGGUUGUGACGACGCUUUGAUGUGUUUGUUAAUUUGGGGCGCAAUCUAUAUCAUAAUUGUGAGCAUAUCAUAUUUAGUUAAUGACAUUUUGUUAGCAACGUUAUAUCAUAUCACACCACACACAAACUUUCUAAGUUUUUAUGUAGAAAACACCACUUUAAGUAGACCAGAAAUUAAAAGAUAUGAUUGUUUUACUGCACAUGAAUAUGUUUUGUGAUAAUUUUUUAUCUAUCAUUCUUUAGUUUUGGUAAAUGACGACAUGACAAUCAGGAACUGAACGUGGACUUGCAAAGUAUACACAAAAUCUUCCAAUCACAAAAUGACAGCUUUGUGGUCAAGCCAACAUAAACAAAAUUAGCAAUAGCCUCCGAGAUUGGUGCCUGUAAUCGGCAAUAGCUUCCGACAUCGGCGCUGGUGUAGAGUAUAAAUGCCACAGGCGCUUAAGUUGCUACAAUUGAGCCCCCUCCGAACGCGGUGUGCCAGCCCAGAUCAUUAUCACAACUGAAUGAUGGGGAAUUGCCAUACCGCUGGACAAGGAGUGUAAUCAUAAAGGAAUAAACGCGUGUGAUUUCGUAAAUGUAUACUCGUACUCAUUUCACAGCUUGUCGCUGGCUUUGCCAUCCCACCCUUAAAUACAUGAUGCAAUGCUUUUCAGAACAAACCUAGAAUUAAAUUAGUCCAAACUUGUCUAACAUCAAAAUCAAUCAGUAUCAUCAUCAUGACGUCAUAAAAAAUAAAAAGAUUUAAAAAUGUUGUAAUUUUAAGAGCUGGUGACCGUAUGACUGUGGAGGGCAGGAACGCUUUGCCGUCCACACGAACUGUUGCCAGCAGAUCUGUAAGUUUUCGAAUUUAAUAUGAAUAAAAUCAUUUUCCAUCGUAAAAA